rnacentral:rRNA from 1 species
AACGAACACUGGCGGCAGGCCUAACACAUGCAAGUCGAACGCUCCAGCAAUGGAGAGUGGCAGACGGGUGAGUAACACGUGGGAACCUUCCCUUUGGUUCGGAAUAGCUCAGGGAAACUUGAGGUAAUACCGGAUAAGCCCUUACGGGGAAAGAUUUAUCGCCGAAGGAUGGGCCCGCGUCGGAUUAGCUAGUUGGUGGGGUAACGGCCUACCAAGGCGACGAUCCGUAGCUGGUCUGAGAGGAUGAUCAGCCACACUGGGACUGAGACACGGCCCAGACUCCUACGGGAGGCAGCAGUGGGGAAUAUUGGACAAUGGGCGCAAGCCUGAUCCAGCCAUGCCGCGUGAGUGACGAAGGUCUUCGGAUUGUAAAGCUCUUUUGGCGGGGACGAUAAUGACGGUACCCGCAGAAUAAGCCCCGGCUAACUUCGUGCCAGCAGCCGCCGUAAAAC